rnacentral:rRNA from 1 species
GAAGCGGCAACAGCUCAAAUUUGAAAUCUGGCGUAAGCCCGAGUUGUAAUUUGUAGAGGAUGCUUCUGGGUAGCGGCCGGUCUAAGUUCCUUGGAACAGGACGUCAUAGAGGGUGAGAAUCCCGUAUGUGACUGGCUUGCACCCUCCACGUAGCUCCUUCGACGAGUCGAGUUGUUUGGGAAUGCAGCUCUAAAUGGGAGGUAAAUUUCUUCUAAAGCUAAAUACCGGCCAGAGACCGAUAGCGCACAAGUAGAGUGAUCGAAAGAUGAAAAGCACUUUGGAAAGAGAGUUAAAAAGCACGUGAAAUUGUUGAAAGGGAAGCGCCCGCAACCAGACUUUGCGGCGGUGUUCGGCUGGUCUUCUGACCGGUUUACUCGCCGCCGUGAGGCCAUCAUCGUCUGGGACCGCUGGAUAAGACCUGAGGAAUGUAGCUCCCUUCGGGGUGUGUUAUAGCCUCUGGUGAUGCAGCGCGUCUCGGGCGAGGUCCGCGCUUCGGCAAGGAUGAUGGCGUAAUGGUUGUCGGCGGCCCGUCUUGAAACACGGACCAAGGAGUCUAACAUCUAUGCGAGUGUUCGGGUGUCAAACCCCUACGCGUAAUGAAAGUGAACGGAGGUGGGAACUUUUUGUGCACCAUCGACCGAUCCUGAUGUCCUCGGAUGGAUUUGAGUAAGAGCAUAGCUGUUGGGACCCGAAAGAUGGUGAACUAUGCCUGAAUAGGGUGAAGCCAGAGGAAACUCUGGUGGAGGCUCGCAGCGGUUCUGACGUGCAAAUCGAUCGUCAAAUUUGGGUAUAGGGGCGAAAGACUAAUCGAACCAUCUAG